GCGUUAUGUUAAAUAAAUAAAAACAUUUCCACCAUAAAUUAGGGCAGAAACUUUCCCCAGAAUGCAGGAAAUGAAAUGUUUAAUGAUUAAAAUUUUGCGUAUCAUCAUGUCUUCUGAGCCCCUUUGUCCCCACAACUUUUCAACACAUGUAACGCCCUUGUAGGUUGCACAAUAGCAGGUGUGCUGUUUAUUGCCACACCUCCAGCACUGGUGCACUGUAGAUCACCUGGGGAUCUCCUCUCGGUCCUUGGUGCUGAACUUGCUUUUGCUUUUGCCGUCAAGACAGUGGCCCUCGGCCGCGGUCCAUGUGGUGAGGAGGACCCUGUGUAGCUCCCUACAGUAGUCAACACGAGGUCGUGAUUUAAAAAAUGGGUUUAUUUCUACAGCAUAUCAGACCAACCUGUGAGAACUGUGUGGAAAGGGAGGGAAAAUGCUAUAAAUGAAAUCAAUGAAUGUACGUCUUGAAUUCACAAAUUAUGCCACUACGUACGAGUUAGCACAAACUAUGCACUUGAAACGUAUCACAGAAAAACCAAUGCCAUCAAUCGGUGGAGCUGCCAGCGCAGCUUGGGGCACAACUGUCUGUUGCAGUGCCUUCGAUAUCACUGCGCCCUCCUUACAGUCACAGCCUGGGGCCCUCAAAACCUCGUCUUUCUCUUUUUCUCUGGGGCAGUCUAUGUGGGGGUUGUGUAGUUCUAAUUUUUAUUUAAUUUAAUUUUAAUGAAAUAGUACUGUUGAAAAUGCAACUAAAAUUCAAAAACUACAAGCUCCUUUUAGUCGUUUCAGCUGCACCACAAUCAUCCUCACUCAGAAAUAUUCACAUCCUCUCCAACAUGGAAAUUAUUAUAGGAAUGUUCCAUCAACAUGAAAAAUUAUUGUUCGUUGAUCAGUGACAGCUUCCUGUUCAAACAGAUUAGUUUGAACUGGACCUCCAGGGGUCCUUGAGGGUUUUCCAGGUGAUCCCCUCAAUUAUAAUUCCAUGUAACACAAUGACAAAACAUUUGACUACUUUGGUCAUGUGUAAUACACUUUCUGUAAUAAAACAUCUAAAAGCAGGAAUGUUAUCUGAUGGGUGAUCCUGGGACAAAAUCUUAUCAAAUGCGGUCUAUUCUGUGUCAGUAAAGGGGUGAAAACCACUGAUUUAACAGUGAUUAGCUUCUGCAGUAGCCUAAAGUAGCCUACGGUAAAUGUUGACAACCUGACAGGUGGCUUAAUGUCCACAUAGUCACAGUGUUAGCCUGAAGAUUUUAUUCUGAGCUGAGGUUGAAUCCAUGGCGUCUUUACAUCGAUGACAGAUUGAGCAUAAAAGCAGUCACGUUAAAGAUUAUUUGGUUAAUGAACUCAUAGCUAUCUAGUCUGGAUUUAGAUGUUUCUAUAGCUUCUGCAAAUGAAUGCGAUCCAUAUAUGCUUUGAAACUGACUGUAUGAAUUUGGAAAUUAAAUUGUGUCAGAAAGCUGCUUCAGGCUCUGCGGGAGGGGAGGAGUCACAGAGAAAAGAAAGAAAGUGAAAGACAGAUGCACUUCUUCCUAAAAGUCCUUGUAAAAAGAGUGAGGUGAAUAGUGAAAGCCAGUAGCCUUGGAGGGAACUGGAAAGAGUGAUUCUGACACCAGCAUGAACCAGGAGUUCAGAGG